rnacentral:rRNA from 1 species
GAUGAACGCUGGCGGCGUGCCUAAUACAUGCAAGUCGAGCGAACAGACGAGGAGCUUGCUCCUCUGACGUUAGCGGCGGACGGGUGAGUAACACGUGGAUAACCUACCUAUAAGACUGGGAUAACUUCGGGAAACCGGAGCUAAUACCGGAUAACAUGUUGAACCGCAUGGUUUAACAGUGAAAGACGGUCUUGCUGUCACUUAUAGAUGGAUCCGCGCCGCAUUAGCUAGUUGGUAAGGUAACGGCUUACCAAGGCAACGAUGCGUAGCCGACCUGAGAGGGUGAUCGGCCACACUGGAACUGAGACACGGUCCAGACUCCUACGGGAGGCAGCAGUAGGGAAUCUUCCGCAAUGGGCGAAAGCCUGACGGAGCAACGCCGCGUGAGUGAAGAAGGUCUUCGGAUCGUAAAGCUCUGUUAUUAGGGAAGAACAAAUGUGUAAGUAACUAUGCACGUCUUGACGGUACCUAAUCAGAAAGCCACGGCUAACUACGUG